rnacentral:tRNA from 2 species
GGAGACAUGGCAGAGUCCGGCUGAUUGCGCAGAACUGCUAAUUCUGUGAACCCUAAAAAGUUCCGGGGGUUCGAAUCCCCCUGUCUCCGC